CGACGCCUACACUCCAUCCAUCUUGAUGUCUCCGUCGGUUCCAUCCCUUUCUCACUCGCUCAGGAGCUUCUUCCUCUUCCGACUCCGUCGCUUCCCCUCCCCUUCUCACUCGCUCACCUCUUCCUCUUCCGACGGUGAGCAUCGCCCUACCAAUCCUGGACGCCACCAUAGUCCUUCCCUGCUCCAUCUCUCCAUCCUCCAGUGCCCCUCCUCUCUCACCCCUCGGCUAUGCUGGAUGCCGGUCGCGCCAGGCUGCCUGCUGGUGAAGGAACGGCCGAAUCUGGCCAAGGGAUAGAGCUCGGGGGUGAAGGAAUGGCCGAAUCCACCGAAGGGUCAACCAGAUGCAGCGAAGGGAGGACCAUAUCUACAAUCCCUCGUUCGAGCGCGACGCGUGCGGCGUUGGGUUUGUCGCUGAGCUUUCUGGCGAUUACAAGCGCGCGACUGUUAAUGAUGCUAUUGAGAUGCUUGAGAGAAUGGCACACCGUGGUGCCUGUGGCUGUGAGAAGAACACAGGAGACGGUGCCGGCAUCAUGGUCGCUCUACCACAUGACUUCUUCAAAGAGGUCACAAAGGAUGCUGGGUUUGAGCUACCGCCACCAGGCGAGUAUGCUGUUGGAAUGUUAUUUAUGCCAACCGAUGAAAAGCGUCGUGAGAAGGGCAAAGCUGAGUUUAAGAAGGUCGCGGAAUCACUGGGACAUGUAAUACUCGGGUGGCGUCCAGUUCCAACUGAUAACUCAGACCUGGGUGAAUCUGCACUGGAGACAGAGCCAGUCAUUGAGCAGGUUUUUAUUACCAAGAGUUCAAGAUCAGAGGCUGAGUUUGAGCAACAGCUAUAUAUCCUUAGGAGACUCUCAAUCAUCUCCGUCCGAGCAGCUCUGAACAUUAAGCGUGGAGGAGAGAGGGAUUUCUACAUGUGUUCUCUGUCUUCAAGACAUACAGUUGUUGGUUGGGUACUUUCUUGCUGGGUGUGACUUUCCAAGAGUGCAGAAAUGAGCGAUUUGCAGAAUCGCACUCCAUUUGGUUUGAGAAGAUUCUGGGCAAUUUGCAGAUUGGAAUGGACAUCAUAGCCACAUGCCAUCUAUUGAUUUGAGACUUUGAGUGCAGAUAAGUUGAAUCAUUUUUUUUUUUUUUCAUGAUCUAUUUCAGUUUUCAUACUUCUCAUCAAUAUUUCAAUAUAAAACUGCUCUAAACUACUAUAUUUGUCUUCUAUGGUACAUAUAGUUUUCUUAAAGCGAUAUAGCGUGUUUAGCCCCUCCUUAUAUUUUCAUGGAUUUGUCUUUUGUCACUGGUGAUACUUGAUAAUAGAUAGAGCUCUUUUUAUAUCAUAUCUCCAAUUAUUUGGCACUUUGUGUUAUACAGCAUGUGGAUUUGCAGAUGAUCCUAAUCUGAGUUUACUGAUUCUUGUUCUUUCAUCAUGCUUUAUUGCUUUGGGAAAAGAAAACCUAACGAAGGCAUAUAUACUAAAAUUUAGAAUUCACAAUAUAAAUUUAAUAAGAAGAGCUCUUCCACCGUAUCUAUUUUUCUGUUCUAACUUCUAAGAACACAUCCUCAUUAUUUCAGUCACAAACCUGUCUUAUUUUUAUUAUCACUGCACUAUCAUAAUCACCACUAUAAUAUUUUAUAUAUCUACAUAUGACUUAUUACGGACCAUCUGGUCUUAACAUAUCUUUACUUUAUUUGUCUAUGUACUCACGCCGCCUAAAAGUAUCGCUUGUUGUCUGUAUGUUGUCUUUUUUAGCAUGCACUUGGUCAUAUAUUUAUUAAGUAAUGUAUAAAAGUUUUUCUUAGCAAGCUUUCAAUUGGUGAUCAUUUUAUGACAUGAAUAUUAAAAUAUGGAACCUUUGUCUGGUGUAUAAUAGAUUAAUAGUUCUGAAGUAAUUGGGGCUGGGCCCUUCCAUUUUGAGUGCCACUGAAACAUUCUCUGUUCAUUUAUAAGGCCGUAUGUAAAUGCAUUUUUCCUUUUCCAUUUACAGGGUGGACUUUUUGUGUAUGACAUAUUCUGGGUGUUCUUCAUUCCAGUUAUGGAAACGCAAAGGCGAGGGCGACUCCAGGAACUGGCAAAACGCAGGAUUGACGGCUUCAAGGACGGUCGCAGGACUGAGGUUGCCAACGCAGGUUGGGCUCGGGGGUCGGGCGACGGCGAGGGCGACCUGGCAACGCAGGUCGUGCGAGGGCGUCGGGCGAUGAUGAGGCGCAGGUCGGCGAGGGCGUUGGGCUGCGGCGUCGGGGGCGAGGGCGUCGCGCGUCGGGCGUCGAGGCAACCCGACGCAGGUCGUGCGAGGGCGUUGGGCGAGGAUGAGGCGCAGGUCUGCGAGGGCGUUGGGCUGCGGCGUCGGGGGCGAGGUCGAGGGCGACGGUGUCGAUGGCGUCGCGUGUCGGGCGUCGCGUGUCGGGCGUCUAGCGUCGGGCGUCGAGCGUCGGGCGUCGGGGUCGAGGCAACGCGGGCGUCGAGCGUCGGGCGUCGGUGGCGAGGGCAACUCUCCAGACCUGGCAACGCAGGUCGGGCGUCGGGGCCUUAGGCGAGGGCGACGGUGUCGGGGGCGGGCGAGGGUGAAGGGCGAGGGCGUCGGUCGUCGGUGGCGGAGGGCGAGUCUCCUGACCUGGCAACCCAGGUCGGCCGUCGGACUUCGGGGGCGAGGGCGUCGACGAGGACCCAGGACGAUGGAGGAAGAGGUGCGACGUCGGGCGAGGGCGAGACGUCGGGUGAGGGCGAGUGCGAGGGCGUCGGGGGCGAGGAUUUGGUACCGUGCGAGUCUUUCCUUUAGAAGAGCAUGCGAUUAAUUUUGUUUCCUUUACAGGACUGAGAUUUUAUAUCAGGAAUCCUUUCUUUUUCUUUAUUUUAUUUCGCCCCCUUCCACCUCUCUGUUAUAUAUUAUUGUGUGUUGUAAAUUUGCAUCAGGAAUCCUAAGUUGUUUUUUUUUUUCAAUAUUUACCCUUCCACGUUGGGGCGUCGGGGGUUUCGCACGUCGGGGUGUGGGGGAGCGACCCCAAAAAAAAAGUCGCACCAUCUGGUCUUACUUUUGUUCUUUUUAGUUGUAGGAGAUUUGCAAGACGAAUAUUUUAAGUCUAGUUAAUCUAUGAUUGGUCGCAGAAAAUAUAAUGUGGUAAUGUAAUUAAAAAAGAGAGGGAAAGAAAUAAUUUUUAAGACCGAAAA